rnacentral:rRNA from 1 species
AAUGGACGCAAGYUGAGGCAGCAACGCCGCGUGGAGGAUGAAGGUUUUCGGACUGUAAACUCCUUUUGUCGGGGAAGAGCGAGGACGGUACCCGGCGAACAAGUCACGGCUAACUACGUGCCAGCAGCCGCGGUAAUACGUAGGUGGCAAGCGUUAUCCGGAAUUACUGGGCGUAAAGCGCUCGCAGGCGGCGCGGCAGGUCGGUUGUGAAAUCUCCUGG